UAGUUAUUUUCUUUAAACCUAAAGGAUUUGGCGGUGAUUUAGUCUAUUCAGAGGAACCUGUUCCGUAAUCGAUAGUCCUCGUUUUAUCUUUCUUUAAUUGGUUAAUCAGUAUGUAUACCGCCGUUAUAAGUUUAUUUUAUUAGAUUUUAUUUACUAAUAAUUUUAUUAUAUUAUAUUUCAGGUCAAGGUGCAGCUUAUAUUUAAGUGGAGAUGGGUUACAAUAUGUUAUAUAAACGGGUUUAUUAUUUAAAAAUUUUAUUUAAGGUGGAUUUGAGGGUAAAUUUAUUAAUAGUUAUAAAUUGAUUUUAGCUCUAAGUUAAGUACACAUCGCCCGUCGCUCUA
rnacentral:rRNA from 1 species